rnacentral:lncRNA from 1 species
CCCCCUCGCUGCAGCCCCGGGACCGGGGCUUUGCAGCCGGCUGCCGCUCCCGUGGACGGCGGGACGGGAAGUGAUCCUGCCCCUCGCGCGACGCAGGGCGCCCGGGGGCACGGACGCUGCGGCUGGACGCCACGAGGGCGAAGGCCGGGGAUGCGGCGUGGGAGAGGGAGCGGGGAGUCCCCGGAGGCGGCGCAGCUGCUGCUGUCAAGGCCGGGGGUCCCAGGCAGCCCCCUCGGAGGCUUUCUACAGCGAUUCCCGCUGCGGCUUCCCGCUCCCGGCUGCGACCRCCGGGAAAAGUGGCUUCCCCCAAGYGCUUUUGUCUAAGUAAGGGUGAGUCCGGGAGGAAGCCCCGGUGGCUCUGGUGUCGGGGCGGGAGGAGAGCUGCUGUCCCCAAGGAGACAGUUCAGGUCUCCUCGGCUGCGGAGUCCAAGGAUGAUCCCGAGGAAGGGACAGGAGGGGGCGGUGUGUGCUCAGGCUCGGAGGAAGGGCAAGGAAACGCAGAGCAGCAAGGCCGCGUGAAGCCCCUUCCCCUAGAGAGGCRCCCAGCACAGAGCCUCGGUGGGUCUGGUGCUCUAGUCCAUCCAUGGAGCAGCGAACGGCCUAGCUUAGUGCACGCUGCUGCCGGGGCGCCUUGUGAGCAGGGCUUGAUGCUCUUCGCUUUCAUUUCCUGGACCCUGCUUCAGGAUCGACUACUCGGCAACUGGCCUGCAACGCGACCCGAGGGGCGAAGGCGAGUGGUGAGAGUGCAAAACAGCUGGCUGCAACCUGGACCGUCCCGGGAGCAGGUGAGCAGCGUGGAGGCUUGGUCCCACGCCGACGUGUGGAGCUGGAGCCRACCCUGCGGCGCACCGGAGCCCUUCCAAGCAGGCCCCCACGGGAAGCAGGCUGUGUGGAGCCUGUCCUGGGCCGCUGGAAGCUGACAAGCGCAGGAGAACCUUCUCCCAGCAGUGGGCAGCACCGGAACGGGCCAGGCCAACAGCAGCUCUUGGGCUCGGAGGUGCUUGAACGCCUCUGGCACCCUGGAGCAGGUCCUGACCUGGAAAGGAGCAGCUCUGUGGCCUGGCUGAGGAGGGGUCAGUGGGGCUGGAAAUGGAAGUUACAUUUCUAGUGGGGACAUUUCUCUUUUCACAGGUAAGGCUGACCAGACAUGGGUGUGUGCGGGGUCCCCUUCUCCCAGCGAGCUGCUCCCUGGUCCUACUUCAGGGUGUGGGGACGCGGCCCCUGCUGAGCAGGUAAGAGCCGGCUGUGUSCUGGCACUACUGCACGUGGUUCACCCUGUGGUUUGGGCCAGGUGUGCUGAGGAUGGGAGGUGACCGGGCGRGCUGAGAGCCUGGGGCUGCCAGUUUCUGUGCUGGCGCUUGAGCUAGUUCAAGUCCCUGGUGCUUACAGAGGACCUUGGGCGUUUGCUGCAUGGCCCUGCAGCCUCCCCUGCGCGUAGGGAGCUCUGCAGGCUUCUGCCCGUUACAUUUCUCGCAAGGGACUCUGUUGAAAGCUGCACACCCUCUGUGUGCUUUUAUACAUCCUGACGUAUUGGAAAAGGUCCCCGGUAUGUGGUCAGCGGAGCCUGUAGCAAGGUGAGGCCRAGUGAGGUCUCCUACCUGCAAAAUAUAUACGUGUGUUUGCCAGCAGUCUCAGGGCCAGGCCGUUCUGGGGGCUGGAAAUUGCUCGCUGACGAGCGUACGGUGGCUCCCCCGGCCGGGCAGCCCUGCCGCGACUGGCACGUCCUGGCAGCGGUGGCGGGGACGCGGGGCUUGUGCUGCUGGCUGGGCUGCCAAGGUGGGAGCCUGCUCUGGCGCGCGGAGCAGGGCGAGCAGGGCUCGCCGAGCCCACGGGGAGCUGGUGUCGGCCUCCGCAGGGUGUGCGGACGGGCCGUGAGGCUGUGUGGCUCCUCGGUGCCCUYCCCUCCCCUGGGCUGCCUGCGGGGACGGUGCUGGGGCCGCUGCCCCGGGGGCCGGGCUAUAGGGGACUGCGUGGGGGCAACCGGUCCCCCUGCGGCACGCUGACGCCCUGCCGCUGCCAGUCUGCAGGCGAUGAGCUAUCCCGGGAGCUGGCGCGCGUGAAGAGCGAGCUGGAGCGCGUGAAGAGCGAGCUGGGUACGUGGCGGGGCUGGGGGACACGCGUGGUGCGGGUGACACCCCCAGCACCGUGCCCGGGGCCUGCAGCCCUGCGGGAUGCUGCCCACCGCAGCGAGCGGGAUCCGGCCCCGGCACCGACUUGCCUGCYGCCCCCAGCCGACAGAGCUGCCCAGUGCGAAGCCUAUCGGCGGACCGUCGCCUGCCUGCGGGCUCGGCUCAGAGCGGCAGGUACGUUCCCCCGCUGGCGAUGCUCUGCUGAUCCGGUGUCACCGAGCGCUGCCGGACAAGAGGGCUAAAGCGGGUGGCAGGUGCUGAAGGCAGAGGAGCAGCCGUGCUUCGAUGCUGCGGUUGUUCCCCAGGAGCGUGGCCGGAUGAUGCAGCGGGGGACGAGACCGGGGUCUCGGGGAGGGACUGACACCUGGCACGCGGGGACAGCCGCGCCGCAGCGGCUUGUCCAGGCGCCUGAGCGAGCUGCUGUGGGCCAGUGACAGUUGUGGAGCUGCUGCAUGAAUGAAACUUUUAAAUUCCUUAUAUUUAAAAUAAAGGUCUCUUUUUGCAGCGUGGCUUGCUCUCU